rnacentral:tRNA from 1 species
GGGGGUAUAGCUCAGGGGUAGAGCAUCUGCCUUGCACGCAGAGGGCCAAGGGUUCAAAUCCCUUUACCUCCA